rnacentral:rRNA from 1 species
GAUGAACGCUGGCGGCGUGCCUAAUACAUGCAAGUCGAGCGAACGGACGAGAAGCUUGCUUCUCUGAUGUUAGCGGCGGACGGGUGAGUAACACGUGGAUAACCUACCUAUAAGACUGGGAUAACUUCGGGAAACCGUAGCUAAUACCGGAUAAUAUUUUGAACCGCAUGGUUCAAAAGUGAAAGACGGUCUUGCUGUCACUUAUAGAUGGAUCCGCGCUGCAUUAGCUAGUUGGUAAGGUAACGGCUUACCAAGGCAACGAUGCAUAGCCGACCUGAGAGGGUGAUCGGCCACACUGGAACUGAGACACGGUCCAGACUCCUACGGGAGGCAGCAGUAGGGAAUCUUCCGCAAUGGGCGAAAGCCUGACGGAGCAACGCCGCGUGAGUGAUGAAGGACUUCGGAUCGUAAAACUCUGUUAUUAGGGAAGAACAUAUGUGUACGUAACUGUGCACAUCUUGACGGUACCUAAUCAGAAAGCCACGGCUAACUACGUG